GGACGGGAUAAGUGCUGAAAGCAUCUAAGCAUGAAGCCCCCCUCAAGAUGAGAUUUCCCAUUACGCAAGUAAGUAAGAUCCCUCAAAGACGAUGAGGUAGAUAGGUUCGAGGUGGAAGUGUGGUGACACAUGGAGCUGACGAAUACUAAUCGAUCGAGGACUUAACCA
rnacentral:rRNA from 1 species